rnacentral:rRNA from 1 species
CCUACGGGUGGCAGCAGUGGGGAAUAUUGCACAAUGGGCGAAACCCUGAUGCAGCAACGCCGCGUGAGUGAAGAAGGAUUUCGGUAUGUAAAGCUCUAUUAGCAGGGGAGUGAAGGACGGUACCUGACUAAGAUGCUCCGGCUAACUCCGUGCCCGCACCCGCGGCAAUACGUAGGGGGCCAGCGUUAUCCGGAUUUACUGGGUGUAAAGGGAGCGUAGAGGGCUGUAAAAGUCUGAAGUGAAAGCUCGUGGCUCAACCGUGGAACUGGAGUGGAAACUGUAAACCUGGAGUACUGGAGAGGCAAGCGGAAUUCGUAGUGUAGCGGUGAAAUGCGUAGAUAUUAGGAAGAACACCAGUGGCGAAGGCGGCCUGCUGGACGGAAACUGACGUUGAGGCUCGAAAGCGUGGGGAGCAAACAGGAUUAGAUACCCCAGUAGUC